AUGCACGCUGGCGGCGUGCCUAAUCCAUGCAAGUCGAGCGAACGGACGAGAAGCUUGCUUCUCUGACGUUAGCGGCGGACGGGUGAGUAACACGUGGAUAACCUACCUAUAAGACUGGGAUAACUUCGGGAAACCGGAGCUAAUACCGGAUAAUAUUUUGAACCGCAUGGUUCAAAAGUGAAAGACGGUCUUGCUGUCACUUAUAGAUGGAUCCGCGCUGCAUUAGCUAGUUGGUAAGGUAACGGCUUACCAAGGCAACGAUGCAUAGCCGACCUGAGAGGGUGAUCGGCCACACUGGAACUGGGACACGGUCCAGACUCCUACGGGAGGCAGCAGUAGGGAAUCUUCCGCAAUGGGCGAAAGCCUGACGGAGCAACGCCGCGUGAGUGAUGAAGGUCUUCGGAUCGUAAAACUCUGUUAUUAGGGAAGAACAUAUGUGUAAGUAACUGUGCACAUCUUGACGGUACCUAAUCAGAAAGCCACGGCUAACUACGUG
rnacentral:rRNA from 1 species